CAAUGGCGUAAACAGAGGGAAGCGAGCCUGCGAGGGGGAGCGAAUCCCAAAAAUAACGUCCCAGUUCGGAUUGUAGUCUGCAACCCGACUACAUGAAGCUGGAAUCGCUAGUAAUCGCGGAUCAGAAUGCCGCGGUGAAUACGUUCCCGGGUCUUGUACACACCGCCCGUCACACCAUGGGAGUCGGGAACACCCGAAGUCCGUAGCCUAACCAAUCUGGAGGGCGCGGCCGAAGGUGGGUUCGAUAAUUGGGGUGAAGUCGUAACAAGGUAGC
rnacentral:rRNA from 1 species